rnacentral:misc_RNA from 1 species
UGUACAUAAGUAGAUUCUAUAUCUAUCCUUGGUUGCAUAUGCAAGGCUGGUCAAUGAAUUCAGUUUUAUUUGGUUAAAAACUUAAAAUAUACAUUGUUAUCACAAUAAAGCAAUUUCAAUUCCUCAUUUAUAGUUACAGAAGAAUUUAUUGAGCUGGUUAACUACAAUUUGAAUGUGUAAUGAAUUUUUGAACAAAGCUAGA